GAGGGUGUAGCUCAAGUGGUAGAGCACAUGCCUAGCAUGCACAAGGUCCUGGGUUCAAUCCCCAGAACCUCCU
rnacentral:tRNA from 1 species